rnacentral:rRNA from 1 species
UACGUAGGGUGCAAGCGUUGUCCGGAAUUAUUGGGCGUAAAGAGCUCGUAGGCGGUUUGUCGCGUCUGCUGUGAAAACUCGGGGCUUAACUCCGGGCCUGCAGUGGGUACGGGCAGACUAGAGUGCGGUAGGGGAGACUGGAAUUCCUGGUGUAGCGGUGAAAUGCGCAGAUAUCAGGAGGAACACCGGUGGCGAAGGCGGGUCUCUGGGCCGAUAUUGACGCUGAGGAGCGGAAGCGUGGGGAGCGAACAGG